rnacentral:rRNA from 1 species
GGGUUGUGAGGUUAAGCGACUAAGCGUACACGGUGGAUGCCCUGGCAGUCAGAGGCGAUGAAGGGCGUGCUAAUCUGCGAUAAGCGCCGGUAAGGUGAUAUGAACCGUUAUAACCGGCGAUACCCGAAUGGGGAAACCCAGUGUGAUUCGUCACACUAUCAUUAACUGAAUCCAUAGGUUAAUGAGGCGAACCGGGGAACUGAAACAUCUAAGUACCCGAGGAAAAGAAAUCAACCGAGAUUCCCCAGUAGCGGCGAGCGAACGGGGAGGAGCCCAGAGCCUGAAUCAGCAUGUGUGUUAGUGGAAGCGUCUGGAAAGGCGCGCGAUACAGGGUGACAGCCCCGUACACAAAAGCGCAUGUGCUGUGAGCUCGAUGAGUAGGGCGGGACACGUGGUAUCCUGUCUGAAUAUGGGGGGACCAUCCUCCAAGGCUAAAUACUCCUGACUGACCGAUAGUGAACCAGUACCGUGAGGGAAAGGCGAAAAGAACCCCGGCGAGGGGAGUGAAAAAGAACCUGAAACCGUGUACGUACAAGCAGUGGGAGCCCCACCACUAAGCCAGUGGUGAACUCCACAUACGCAUCCUUUGCUGAGGAUACGGUUAACGGAGCGAAAGCGACGUUCAACCUCAAAAGAAGCAGAGGGGGCUUAGUGGUGGGGUGACUGCGUACCUUUUGUAUAAUGGGUCAGCGACUUAUAUUCUGUAGCAAGGUUAACCGAAUAGGGGAGCCGGAGGGAAACCGAGUCUUAAUUGGGCGUUAAGUUGCAGGGUAUAGACCCGAAACCCGGUGAUCUAGCCAUGGGCAGGUUGAAGGUUGGGUAACACUAACUGGAGGACCGAACCGACUAAUGUUGAAAAAUUAGCGGAUGACCUGUGGCUGGGGGUGAAAGGCCAAUCAAACCGGGAGAUAGCUGGUUCUCCCCGAAAGCUAUUUAGGUAGCGCCUCGUGAAUUCAUCUCCGGGGGUAGAGCACUGUUUCGGCUAGGGGCCAUCCCGGCUUACCAACCCGAUGCAAACUGCGAAUACCGGAGAAUGUUAUCACGGGAGACACACGGCGGGUGCUAACGUCCGUCGUGAAGAGGGAAACAACCCAGACCGCCAGCUAAGGUCCCAAAGUCAUGGUUAAGUGGGAAACGAUGUGGGAAGGCCCAGACAGCCAGGAUGUUGGCUUAGAAGCAGCCAUCAUUUAAAGAAAGCGUAAUAGCUCACUGGUCGAGUCGGCCUGCGCGGAAGAUGUAACGGGGCUAAACCAUGCACCGAAGCUGCGGCAGCGAACGUAUCACUUAAAGCGAUUCAGCGGGUUACGAUUGACGGAGCGAAGCGACGUCAAAGCGUAUACAAAGUCGAGUCGGUUUAAGGAUACGUUCGUUGGGUAGGGGAGCGUUCUGUAAGCCUGUGAAGGUGGCCUGUGAGGGUUGCUGGAGGUAUCAGAAGUGCGAAUGCUGACAUAAGUAACGAUAAAGCGGGUGAAAAGCCCGCUCGCCGGAAGACCAAGGGUUCCUGUCCAACGUUAAUCGGGGCAGGGUGAGUCGACCCCUAAGGCGAGGCCGAAAGGCGUAGUCGAUGGGAAACGGGUUAAUAUUCCCGUACUUGGUGUUACUGCGAAGGGGGACGGAGAAGGCUAUGUUGGCCGGGCGACGGUUGUCCCGGUUUAAGCGUGUAGGUGUGUGUUCCAGGUAAAUCCGGUUCACUUUAACACUGAGGCGUGACGACGAGGCACUACGGUGCUGAAGCAACAAAUGCCCUGCUUCCAGGAAAAGCCUCUAAGCAUCAGGUAACAUCAAAUCGUACCCCAAACCGACACAGGUGGUCAGGUAGAGAAUACCAAGGCGCUUGAGAGAACUCGGGUGAAGGAACUAGGCAAAAUGGUGCCGUAACUUCGGGAGAAGGCACGCUGACACGUAGGUGAAGUGAUUUACUCACGGAGCUGAAGUCAGUCGAAGAUACCAGCUGGCUGCAACUGUUUAUUAAAAACACAGCACUGUGCAAACACGAAAGUGGACGUAUACGGUGUGACGCCUGCCCGGUGCCGGAAGGUUAAUUGAUGGGGUCAGCGCAAGCGAAGCUCCUGAUCGAAGCCCCGGUAAACGGCGGCCGUAACUAUAACGGUCCUAAGGUAGCGAAAUUCCUUGUCGGGUAAGUUCCGACCUGCACGAAUGGCGUAAUGAUGGCCAGGCUGUCUCCACCCGAGACUCAGUGAAAUUGAACUCGCUGUGAAGAUGCAGUGUACCCGCGGCAAGACGGAAAGACCCCGUGAACCUUUACUAUAGCUUGACACUGAACAUUGAGCCUUGAUGUGUAGGAUAGGUGGGAGGCUUUGAAGUGUGGACGCCAGUCUGCAUGGAGCCGACCUUGAAAUACCACCCUUUAAUGUUUGAUGUUCUAACGUGGACCCGUAAUCCGGGUUGCGGACAGUGUCUGGUGGGUAGUUUGACUGGGGCGGUCUCCUCCUAAAGAGUAACGGAGGAGCACGAAGGUUGGCUAAUCCUGGUCGGACAUCAGGAGGUUAGUGCAAUGGCAUAAGCCAGCUUGACUGCGAGCGUGACGGCGCGAGCAGGUGCGAAAGCAGGUCAUAGUGAUCCGGUGGUUCUGAAUGGAAGGGCCAUCGCUCAACGGAUAAAAGGUACUCCGGGGAUAACAGGCUGAUACCGCCCAAGAGUUCAUAUCGACGGCGGUGUUUGGCACCUCGAUGUCGGCUCAUCACAUCCUGGGGCUGAAGUAGGUCCCAAGGGUAUGGCUGUUCGCCAUUUAAAGUGGUACGCGAGCUGGGUUUAGAACGUCGUGAGACAGUUCGGUCCCUAUCUGCCGUGGGCGCUGGAGAACUGAGGGGGGCUGCUCCUAGUACGAGAGGACCGGAGUGGACGCAUCACUGGUGUUCGGGUUGUCAUGCCAAUGGCACUGCCCGGUAGCUAAAUGCGGAAGAGAUAAGUGCUGAAAGCAUCUAAGCACGAAACUUGCCCCGAGAUGAGUUCUCCCUGAGACUUAGAGUCUCCUGAAGGAACGUUGAAGACGACGACGUUGAUAGGCCGGGUGUGUAAGCGCAGCGAUGCGUUGAGCUAACCGGUACUAAUGAACCGUGAGGCUUAACCUUACAACGCCGAAG